UACGUAGGGGGCAAGCGUUGUCCGGAAUCAUUGGGCGUAAAGAGCGUGUAGGCGGCCGUAUAAGUCUGCUCUGAAAGCCCGGGGCUCAACCCCGGGAGGCGGGUGGAUACUGUAUGGCUCGAGUCCGGAAGAGGCGAGUGGAAUUCCUGGUGUAGCGGUGAAAUGCGCAGAUAUCAGGAGGAACACCAAUGGCGAAGGCAGCUCGCUGGGACGUGACUGACGCUGAGACGCGAAAGCGUGGGGAGCAAACAGG
rnacentral:rRNA from 1 species